UACGUAGGGGGCAAGCGUUGUCCGGAUUUAUUGGGCGUAAAGAGCGUGUAGGCGGCUUUACAGGUCCGUUGUGAAAACUCGAGGCUCAACCUCGAGACGUCGGUUGAAACCGUGUGGCUAGAGUCCGGAAGAGGAGAGUGGAAUUCCCGGUGUAGCGGUGAAAUGCGCAGAUAUCGGGAAGAACACCCGUGGCGAAGGCGGCUCUCUGGGACGGUACUGACGCUGAGACGCGAAAGCGUGGGGAGCGAACAGG
rnacentral:rRNA from 1 species